rnacentral:lncRNA from 10 species
AGAGCUGGGUCUCACUCUGCUGUCCAGGCUGAAGUACAGGUUAUAACUGGAUGAGUUUUAACAAAUGUGACACCAGUAACCCACAGCUCGGUCAAGACAGAACACUCCUUGGUCAAGACAGAACAACACCCUGAACAUUCCUCAUGCCUCUCCCCAGGUAACCCCCCCCACAGAGGGAACCGUUGUCCUCAUGUGUGUUUCAGGAUAGGUUAGUUUCUCCAAUUCUGAAACUUGGUGUAAACUUUCACUCCGUCAGUGCCUUUGGCGGCAUCCAUGUUGCUUUCUUUUUUCUUGCCUUAUUACUCUGGCUAGCAAGUCUAGUGUGAUAUGGAAUAGAAACAGUGGGAGUGGCUGUCCUUGUCCUGUGCUUGAUCUUACAGUGAAGCUUUCGGUUUUUCCCCAUUAAAUAGUAUGAGGGCUAUGGAUUCUGUAGAUGCCUUUUAUUAGGCUGAAGAAGUUUCCUUCUCUUCUUAAUUUGCUGAGUUUCUAUUAUGAAUAGUGUUGAAUUUUGUCUAAUGUUUUUUCCUGUAUCUAUCAGAGAUACAAUCAUAUGGUUUUUCUUAGUGUUUUAAUUGGUUGAUUUGCUUUUUGUUUUUGUUUUUUCUUUUUUUGAUGGAGUUUCACAAUCGUUGCCCAGGCUGGAGU